rnacentral:rRNA from 1 species
GUGAGUAACGCGUGAGAAUCUGCCUCUAGGUCGGGGACAACAGUUGGAAACGACUGCUAAUCCCGGAUGAGCCUGAGGGUAAAAGAUUAAUUGCCUAGAGAGGAGCUCGCGUCUGAUUAGCUAGAUGGUGGGGUAAGAGCCUACCAUGGCGACGAUCAGUAGCUGUUCUGAGAGGAAGAUCAGCCACACUGGGACUGAGACACGGCCCAGACUCCUACGGGAGGCAGCAGUGGGGAAUUUUCCGCAAUGGGCGAAAGCCUGACGGAGCAAUACCGCGUGAGGGAAGAAGGCCUUUGGGUCGUAAACCUCUUUUCUGAGGGAAGAAGAACUGACGGUACCUCAGGAAUAAGCCUCGGCUAACUCCGUGCCAGCAGCCGCGGUAAUACGGAGGAGGCAAGCGUUAUCCGGAAUUAUUGGGCGUAAAGCGUCCGUAGGUGGCUGUUCAAGUCUGUGGUCAAAGACUAGAGCUUAACUCUGGGAGGGCCAUGGAAACUGAAGAGCUAGAGUGCGGUAGGGGUAGAGGGAAUUCCCAGUGUAGCGGUGAAAUGCGUAGAGAUUGGGAAGAACACCGGUGGCGAAAGCGCUCUACUGGGCCGGGACUGACACUGAGGGACGAAAGCUAGGGGAGCAAAAGGGAUUAGAUACCCCUGUAGUCCUAGCCGUAAACGAUGGAAACUAGGCGUGGCUUGUAUCGACCCGAGCCGUGCCGAAGCUAACGCGUUAAGUUUCCCGCCUGGGGAGUACGCACGCAAGUGUGAAACUCAAAGGAAUUGACGGGGGCCCGCACAAGCGGUGGAGUAUGUGGUUUAAUUCGAUGCAACGCGAAGAACCUUACC